rnacentral:rRNA from 1 species
GCCAGCAGCCAUAUGCAAUUCGCAACUGGAAGCCCACUGAAGCUAAGGAGGUGUGAGCCUGGUCAGAACCUGGAUGGGAGACCUCCUGGGAAAAACUAAGGUUGCUGCUGAAA